GUGAACGCUGGCGGUAGGCCUAACACAUGCCAGUCGAACGGCAGCACAGUAAGAGCUUGCUCUUACGGGUGGCGAGUGGCGGACGGGUGAGGAAUACAUCGGAAUCUACUUUUUCGUGGGGGAUAACGUAGGGAAACUUACGCUAAUACCGCAUACGACCUACGGGUGAAAGCAGGGGAUCUUCGGACCUUGCGCGAUUGAAUGAGCCGAUGUCGGAUUAGCUAGUUGGCGGGGUAAAGGCCCACCAAGGCGACGAUCCGUAGCUGGUCUGAGGGGAUGAUCAGCCACACUGGAACUGAGACACGGUCCAGACUCCUACGGGAGGCAGCAGUGGGGAAUAUUGGACAAUGGGCGCAAGCCUGAUCCAGCCAUACCGCGUGGGUGAAGAAGGCCUUCGGGUUGUAAAGCCCUUUUGUUGGGAAAGAAAAGCAGCAGGUUAAUACCCCGCUGUUCUGACGGUACCCAAAGAAUAAGCACCGGCUAACUUCGUG
rnacentral:rRNA from 1 species